GAGGUUAUAGCUCAGUGGUAGAGCACAUGCUUAGCAUACACAAGGUCCUGGGUUCAAUCCCCAGUACCUCU
rnacentral:tRNA from 1 species